UACGGAGGGUGCGAGCGUUACCCGGAUUUACUGGGCGUAAAGGGCGUGGAGGCGGUUUUCUAAGUCCGGGGCUAAAGACCAGGGCUCAAACCUGGGUUUGCCUUGGAUACUGGAAAGCUCGACGGCUGGAGGGGGCAGCGGAAUUUCCGGAGUAGCGGGGAAAUGCGCAGAUACCGGAAGGAACGCCAAUAGCGAAGGCAGCUGCCUGGACAGUACGUGACGCUGAGGCGCGAAAGCGUGGGGAGCAAACCGG
rnacentral:rRNA from 1 species